CCAGAGGCGGCUGCCAGUCCUUGAAGUGGGGACAGUGGGGGCAGCGGAUCUUCGAACUGUAGCGGGUUGGGGUGAGAGUUGGAGAACUUCAAUGGCCCUACACCCAAUCGUGCUUACACUCAAACUGUGUAACUAAAAAACAUCUCUGGUUGCCAUGCAACUCUGUGUGGAUACUGUUCACAAGUGACAUCAUUGCUCCGUCCCUCCUUCAAGUCUAAGGGGGCCAAUGAGAUGCAAGUUGGGGAAGCAGAGUCCGACAAGAGUCCUAGCCAUGCUCCAGGUCAGCACGCCUCUCACCAACACUAUGACAUGCCGACAGCCGUCGCAUCUCACAGCUAUGCCCUCGGCCACAUGGGCCACAGAUGGUGACCCACACCAACACACUGGCACAAGCACAUCGUCAUACAUCCCAUAUCGAGAGCAGGGACCCCUUUUCUCUCAUGACUCUAUUCCUAGAGAUUAUUAGCCAGUUCCCAGAGGAUGCACACUCCUAUGUGAGGCCUUGAUCCUGCGGGCUGACGACAACAAAGGAGGAAACCAGCCAGCACUGGGGGAUCUGACGCUGGGUGCAGCCCUCCCAGGAAAUGGCACAAUAACUGGAGGCUUGGGAGACACACCUUAGCCCACAGUGGGUGGGGCCCUCCGCUGCCUGCCCUCUUGCCGCCCUGGCCCCAGAAGAAGCAGCUGGCUUUUCAAACCAAAAUCUUUCUCAAGUUUCUCCUCCGGAUUCAACUCACUGUAUAGCUGCCUGAAGUCCUUUCUAGAUCAAGGCGGGUAAAAUGCACACAUCCAUGAAUCUCUCUACAUGUGUACAAAUAUAUUUUGUGUUUUCUGUCCAGCAAAACCCUCAAGAGCAAAUUUCCAACUUCCCCAAACACCCCAGGGAAAAUCUUUUCUCCCCAACCCAUGGACUAAGGUGAUGACUGCCUCCUUGCCUUGGAUUCAUGCCAAACUAUCUUCCUGAUAAGGCCUCAGAGAGCUAAACCCUGAGCACCCCACCCUCCCCUGCCCCCAGCCCCCAGGGCCCCAGGGCCUCCUGGGCAUCUGGCUCUGAGUAUCCCGACCUCCCUUCACAUGGAUGCCUUAGUGUGAGGUAGGAAGUCCCGGUUUCCUUGGGCCACAAUAAUCAUCAGAAACUUCACUGAUAGGCUUGGGCUUCUCUUCCUGUGCCCCUUUACCCUCUGUCUAUUGCUUCAAGAGAGAAGGAGGCCAUCGUCCUGCCCUUCUCACACACUUCCUUGUCCCCACUCCCUACCUGGGGGCCUUUUCUUUCUUUCUUUUUGUUUUUAAGAUUUUAUU